UACGUAGGGUGCGAGCGUUGUCCGGAAUUACUGGGCGUAAAGAGCUCGUAGGUGGUUUGUCGCGUUGUUCGUGAAAACUCACAGCUCAGCUGUGGGCGUGCGGGCGAUACGGGCAGACUGGAGUACUGCAGGGGAGACUGGAAUUCCUGGUGUAGCGGUGGAAUGCGCAGAUAUCAGGAGGAACACCGGUGGCGAAGGCGGGGUCUCUGGGCAGUAACUGACGCUGAGGAGCGAAAGCGUGGGGAGCGAACAGG
rnacentral:rRNA from 1 species